rnacentral:rRNA from 1 species
CCUAUAAGACUGGGAUAACUUCGGGAAACCGGAGCUAAUGCCGGAUAACAUUUGGAACCGCAUGGUUCUAAAGUAAAAGAUGGUUUUGCUAUCACUUAUAGAUGGACCCGCGCCGUAUUAGCUAGUUGGUAAGGUAGCGGCUUACCAAGGCAACGAUACGUAGCCGACCUGAGAGGGUGAUCGGCCACACUGGAACUGAGACACGGUCCAGACUCCUACGGGAGGCAGCAGUGGGGAAUCUUCCGCAAUGGACGAAAGUCUGACGGAGCAACGCCGCGUGAGUGAUGAAGGUUUUCGGAUCGUAAAACUCUGUUAUUAGGGAAGAACAAAUGUGUAAGUAACUGUGCACAUCUUGACGGUACCUAAUCAGAAAGCCACGGCUAACUACGUGCCAGCAGCCGCGGUAAUACGUAGGUGGCAAGCGUUAUCCGGAAUUAUUGGGCGUAAAGCGCGCGUAGGCGGUUUCUUAAGUCUGAUGUGAAAGCCCACGGCUCAACCGUGGAGGGUCAUUGGAAACUGGGAAACUUGAGUACAGAAGAGGAAAGUGGAAUUCCAUGUGUAGCGGUGAAAUGCGCAGAGAUAUGGAGGAACACCAGUGGCGAAGGCGACUUUCUGGUCUGUAACUGACGCUGAUGUGCGAAAGCGUGGGGAUCAAACAGGAUUAGAUACCCUGGUAGUCCACGCCGUAAACGAUGAGUGCUAAGUGUUAGGGGGUUUCCGCCCCUUAGUGCUGCAGCUAACGCAUUAAGCACUCCGCCUGGGGAGUACGACCGCAAGGUUGAAACUCAAA